rnacentral:rRNA from 1 species
GACGAACGCUGGCGGCGUGCUUAACACAUGCAAGUCGAACGGAAAGGCCCUGCUUGCAGGGUACUCGAGUGGCGAACGGGUGAGUAACACGUGGGUGAUCUGCCCUGCACUUCGGGAUAAGCCUGGGAAACUGGGUCUAAUACCGGAUAGGAGCCAUUUUUAGUGUGAUGGUUGGAAAGUUUUUUCGGUGUUGGAUGAGCUCGCGGCCUAUCAGCUUGUUGGUGGGGUAAUGGCCUACCAAGGCGGCGACGGGUAGCCGGCCUGAGAGGGUGGACGGCCACAUUGGGACUGAGAGACGGCCCAGACUCCGACGGGAGGCAGAAGUGGGGAAUAUUGCACAAGGGGCGCAGGCCUGAUGCAGAGACGCCGCGUGGGGGAUGACGGCCUUAGGGUUGUAAACUCCUUUCGCUAGGGACGAAGCUUUUUGUGACGGUACCUAGAUAAGAAGCACCGGCUAACUACGUG